rnacentral:rRNA from 1 species
UGAGGAAUAUUGGUCAAUGGGCGGGAGCCUGAACCAGCCAAGUCGCGUGAAGGAAGAAGGAUCUAUGGUUCGUAAACUUCUUUUGCAGGGGAAUAAAGUGCAGGACGUGUCCUGUUUUGUAUGUACCCUGAGAAUAAGGAUCGGCUAACUCCGUGCCAGCAGCCGCGGUAAUACGGAGGAUCCGAGCGUUAUCCGGAUUUAUUGGGUUUAAAGGGUGCGUAGGCGGUUUGAUAAGUCAGCGGUGAAAGUUUGCAGCUUAACUGUAAAAAUGCCGUUGAAACUGUCGGACUUGAGUGUAAAUGAGGUAGGCGGAAUGCGUGGUGUAGCGGUGAAAUGCAUAGAUAUCACGCAGAACUCCGAUUGCGAAGGCAGCUUACUAAGCUACAACUGACACUGAAGCACGAAAGCGUGGGGAUCAAACA